rfam:Ipomoea nil DNA, scaffold: scaffold2701, cultivar: Tokyo-kokei standard.
CUGACCUUAGCUCAGUGGGUAGAGUGGUGGACUGUAGUUGGACUAAUUUAAAUUGGAAAUCCUUAGGUCGUUGUUUUGAUUCCGGCAGGUUGGA